GACGAACGCUGGCGGCGUGCUUAACACAUGCAAGUCGAACGGAAAGGCCCUGCUUUUGUUGGGUGCUCGAGUGGCGAACGCGUGAGUAACACGUGAGUAACCUGCCCUUGACUUUGGGAUAACUUCAGGAAACUGGGGCUAAUACCGGAUAGGAGCUCCUGCUGCAUGGUGGGGGUUGGAAAGUUUCGGCGGUUGGGGAUGGACUCGCGGCUUAUCCGCUUGUUUGUGGGGUAGUGGCAUACCAAGGGUUUGACGGGUAGCCGGCCUGAGAGGGUGACCGGCCACAAGAGGACUGAGAGACGGCCCAGACUCGUACGGGAGGCAGCAGUGGGGAAUAUUGCAGAGUGGGCGGAAGCCAGAUGCAGCGACGCCGCGUGCGGGAUGACGGCCUUCGGGUUGUAAACCGCUUUCGCCUGUGACGAAGCGUGAGUGACGGUAAUGGGUAAAGAAGCACCGGCUAACUACGUG
rnacentral:rRNA from 1 species